CGCGAAAAUAAACCAAUGAGCGCCUCAAAGCUUCCCAAGCUUCUGCCACAAUCGGAUGCGUCUCAAAAUCAGAACUUGACCUUGGGGUAUUAAGGCCUGACCUUUUACCAGGCGAAUAUACAGAAUCCAAAUGGUCUGUAAAUCUAGAAGUGUUUUCAGGUCUAGUUGUGUGACGAGGAGACACCCCAAUUGACAAUUCAUUAAUAGACCUUUCAUCAAAUGAUCUCUGCCUGUCCAUAUUCAAAGGCCUUGGUCUCUCUCUCUCCAAUAACUUGGAGAAAUCCAAUUCAUCGACUCCAGACAGAGUACAAUGGCUAUCAACAUUCCUUACGUUCCCAUUACGAGACAAAUCCACAGUGAGUCCAGACAUCUUCAAGCUUCUCAGCUGUAACUUUUACUGCUCUAUAACCUGAAACAAUCCAAGAUCAGUCUUUGGUAGGAUCCGAAUUCCAAACAAAG
rnacentral:misc_RNA from 1 species